GAGGAAUAUUGGACAAUGCCCGCAAGGGUGACCCAGCAACGCCGCGUGGAGGAUGAAUGUCGUAAGAUUGUAAACUCCUGUUAGAGGGGAAGAAUAGUACCGGUUGGACCGGUAUAUGACUGUACCCUCAGAGAAAGCCCCGGCUAACUACGUGCCAGCAGCCGCGGUAAUACGUAGGGGGCAAGCGUUGUCCGGAUUUACUGGGUGUAAAGGGCGCGCAGGCGGGAUAAAAAGUCAGUGGUGAAAUCCUACAGCUUAACUGUAGAACUGCCUUUGAUACUUUUAUUCUUGAGUUCGGGAGAGAGAGACGGAAUUCCAGGUGUAGUGGUGAAAUACGUAGAUAUCUGGAAGAACACCAGUUGCGAAGGCGGUCUCUUGGUCCGACACUGACGCUGAGGCGCGAAAGCGUGGGGAGCAAACA
rnacentral:rRNA from 1 species